rnacentral:lncRNA from 1 species
UGCUUCUGAACCCUUUGAUACAGCAAGGCGUGGCACCCAGUGUCAUAGCUCAAGGGAGUAAAAUAUUAUGCUUUGUUGACCCCGCCUUCAAACAGAGAUACAUUGACAGCUUAAGCUUCUUACCCAUGAGAUUGGCUCAAAUGCCAGAGGCCUUGGGUUUUGAAAACUCUGUCAAAGGCUAUUUCCCUCAUUUCUUCACAUCUGAGGAGAAUCUACAUUAUAUAGGAUCUUAUCCAGCCCCCGAAAUGUACGGGUGUGAUCAAAUGUCUCCCAAAGAGCGUGAGAGAUUCAUGACAUGGUACGAGACCGUAAGACAUGGCACUUUUGAUUUCCAUAAAGAGAUGGAAUCAUACUGUGACAAUGACGUUGUUAUACUUCGUGAAGGAUGCCUCAGAUUCAGAGAAGAGGUAAUCAAAGAUGCGGGCAUUGACCCCUGGAGCUGUACAACUAUUGCAUCAGCGUGCAUGAAAACCUAUCGUACACACUAUCUAACUCCUGAAUCUAUAGCUAUCCCAUCGCCAGACAACUACCGACGCCAAUUCAAGGCCUACUCUAGUGGUUCCAUUCAAUGGUUGGAGUACUUGGCCCAGGAUAAAGAUAUUUUUAUCCAACAUGCUUUGAAUCGGGGGGAGAAGGCUUUUGGGCCUUACCAUGUAGAUGGAUACACACAGAUUGACGGGGUUGAGACAGUGUAUGAGUACAACGGUUGUUUCUUCCACGGUUGUAAAUUAUGCUUUGUCCCCCACACCUUGUGUGUCCUAACCCAAAAGACUUUUGGGGAAAUGUACCAAGAGUUUCAAGACAAACUGAAUUCUUUAAAGGCUACUUACGGGUUAAAAGUUGUGGUUUUGUGGGAGCACGAAUGGACAGCCCUCAAAAAGGCAGAUCCUAGUGUUAAGGCCUUCCUUACCCAUUAUGACCCUCCAGAGCCCCUGGAACCGCGACAGGCCUUGUUUGGAGGCCGGACCAAUGCGUUAUGUAGCUCAACCCGACGAGACAAUAGGCUAUGUAGAUUUUACAUCCCUAUAUCCUCAUGUAAUGAGUUCCUCAUUCUAUCCUAUAGGGCAUCCUGAAAUUAUUCACAGCGACUUUGACGAACCCCAAAAUUAUUUUGGUUUAAUCAAAGCGACUGUCUACCCUCCUAGGGGGCUGUUUAUACCUGUGUUGCCUUACAAGGGUCCUAAAGGAAAACUUUUCUUUCCCCUUUGUCGCACAUGCUGUGAAAACCACAACCAGGA